rnacentral:rRNA from 1 species
GUGGCGGACGGGUGAGUAACGCGUGGGAACGUGCCCUCUGGUUCGGAAUAGCCCUGGGAAACUGGGAGUAAUACCGGAUACGGUCGAGAGACGAAAGAUUUAUCGCCGGAGGAUCGGCCCGCGUUGGAUUAGGUAGUUGGUGGGGUAAUGGCCUACCAAGCCGACGAUCCAUAGCUGGUUUGAGAGGAUGAUCAGCCACACUGGGACUGAGACACGGCCCAGACUCCUACGGGAGGCAGCAGUGGGGAAUCUUGCACAAUGGGCGAAAGCCUGAUGCAGCCAUGCCGCGUGAAUGAUGAAGGCCUUAGGGUUGUAAAAUUCUUUCGUCAGGGAUGAUAAUGACCGUACCUGAAGAAGAAGCCCCGGCUAACUUCGUGCCAGCAGCCGCGGUAAUACGAAGGGGGCUAGCGUUGUUCGGAAUUACUGGGCGUAAAGCGCACGUAGGCGGACUUUUAAGUCAGGUGUGAAAUCCCGGGGCUCAACCUCGGAACUGCAUUUGAAACUGGAAGUCUGGAGAUCAGGAGAGGUUAGCGGAAUACCGAGUGUAGAGGUGAAAUUCGUAGAUAUUCGGUGGAACACCAGUGGCGAAGGCGGCUAACUGGACUGAUACUGACGCUGAGGUGCGAAAGUGUGGGGAGCAAACAGGAUUAGAUACCCUGGUAGUCCAC